rnacentral:tRNA from 1 species
UCCCAUAUGGUCUAGUGGUUAGGAUUUGACGUUCUCACCGCCAAGGCCUGGGUUCAAUUCCCGGUAUGGGAA